CAAAAGGAGGUUGAAUUCCCUGCAUCUGCUUCAAUAUGAUGUACACAUCCAUGAAUGAAAUUUAACGGUAAUGACGUUCAUUCAUUCGUAUCCGAAAACCAUAGAGUAGGACUGAAAAAUCAGAUAUAUAUAUACGAGAGAAAGAAAGACAGCUUGCCGCUAGCUGAUCACAUUCGAAAGGAACAUUUUAUUACAUUUUGCAUUGGAAAAAUAGAUCGGUUGGCACGUUGCAUGCAAGGGACUUAUUCACCAGAACUACAUACUACUAUCGCAGAAGCACAAUCGAGAUUUGUCUGGCGUCCCGGAGCCGUGAUCAAACCGCUGGUGGUGAUGGUUUGUAUAGUUGGCAACAACACACGUUGCUGUCUCUGCAAAGGCUGACCCAGGGGUGUUUGGGACUGUGCCCGACUAACCUUCUGCAUGCAUCAUCACAAUCAGGUACAGUGCAUCCUCCAUUCAAAUACUCGCAUUUCUCCCCGGUAUCUGCAGGUGAUGUACCAUUGCAGCGUCAUCAACUCAAUCAAAAAAGACCUUUGGUAGGUUAGUUAUCUUGGAUACCGACUGAAAUGGCUCCAUGGAGCUCGAGCUCCGUUAGCAUCACGAGGAAAAAUGAUAUACACACUUACACUUGAUUGCAUGGCACGAUGGCAAGGUACGAGCAGACAUCACUACAAGAACCAGGAAAGCAAUGGCCACAGUUCUUUUUGUGUUGCUACGGUGGACGUUUGCCAUGUGGAGAGGUUGGUCGCUGGUGUUUGUCUUUCCUCGUGUUGUUUCUGUCUGCUCCUUUGUUUCUGUGUGCUCCUUUGCUGCC
rnacentral:lncRNA from 1 species